GAUGAACGCUGGCGGCGUGCCUAAUACAUGCAAGUCGAGCGAACGGACGAGAAGCUUGCUUCUCUGAUGUUAGCGGCGGACGGGUGAGUAACACGUGGAUAACCUACCUAUAAGACUGGGAUAACUUCGGGAAACCGGAGCUAAUACCGGAUAAUAUUUUGAACCGCAUGGUUCAAAAGUGAAAGACGGUCUUGCUGUCACUUAUAGAUGGAUCCGCGCUGCAUUAGCUAGUUGGUAAGGUAACGGCUUACCAAGGCAACGAUGCAUAGCCGACCUGAGAGGGUGAUCGGCCACACUGGAACUGAGACACGGUCCAGACUCCUACGGGAGGCAGCAGUAGGGAAUAUUGCGCAAUGGGCGAAAGCCUGACGGAGCAACGCCGCGUGAGUGAUGAAGGUCUUCGGAUCGUAAAACUCUGUUAUUAGGGAAGAAAAUAUGUGUAAGUAACUGUGCACAUCUUGACGGUACCUAAUCAGAAAGCCACGGCUAACUACGUG
rnacentral:rRNA from 1 species